GUGCCAGCAGCCGCGGUAAUACGGMGGAUCCAAGCGUUAUCCGGAAUCAUUGGGUUUAAAGGGUCCGUAGCGGUUUAAUAAGUCAGUGGUGAWAGYCCAUCGCUCAACGGUGGWACGGCCAUUGAUACUGUUAGACUUGAWUUAUUAGADAGUDACUAGAAUAUGUWGUGUAGCGGUGAAAUGCUUAGAGAUUACAUGGWAUACCAAUUGCKAAGGCARGUUACUACUAAUGGBUUGACGCUGAUGGACGAAAGCKUGGGUAGCGAACAGGAUUAGAUACCCUGGUAGUCCACGCCGUA
rnacentral:rRNA from 1 species